GGCAUGAGAAGAUGUGAUUGUGAAGAGGAGUGGGUGCGGGGUUGGGAGCUAGGUGGAUUCGGAGUCGUCACCGUGGUCGUUGCUUUCUGAGAAUGGUGGAGGUGGCGGAGGAGAAUGGUAUUAAGAUCUCUCAGGAGCAGGCUUGUGAAGAAGCCACUGAAGAUGGCUGGUGUUGGCUGCGUCCCGAACCGUACCGAAAAACUGAAAAAUAUUCGGGAAUACUGAAAUUCGGGAAAGGCAAAAUUUCGGAUCGGUUUCGGUUGCUAAAAUCUCAUCCCGAACUUUUUCAGUUCGGUAUUUGGUAUAUAGUUUUCGGUUCGGUAUCCCAUACCGAACCACCCCUAAUUAUUAAGGUCUGGAAAAGUUUUAGCCUGAGAUGGACCAACUGUCUGAGGCCAAACUUGAAGAGAGGUCUUUUAUCAUAAUAUGAGAAGAUAUGCGGGAUGAAGAGGUGAGCGACAGAAACGGUGAGGUUUUAUUUUCUGAUUUGGAUUUUGAAAUUGAGUAAUUUUCUGCUUUGUGUCUUUUGAUUAGGUGUGGGAUUUAGUUUCAUGCCAGGGGUUGUAAUGGGUGGAUUGGAUGUAAAAUUUUCUUUUCAAAUUUCAAUCCCUCUAAACUUCGGGAAGCUUCGGGAAGAUGAGAAGACGAUCUUUGUGUCCCUCGAAACUUCGGGAAGCUUGAUGAUUGGUCUAUGUUUCGCGAACAGGCAGUGACACAUAUUUGGGCAGGGCUUGGAGAGGCAAACCCCAUAUGGUGUAUGCCUACUCCAACAUGACCAAGGUGUUUAGCCCUGCCGGCUGGAGCGACGAAAACCAUCCUGAAUGUAACAACAAUGUGGCCUGCAAAGAGUACAAGUGCAUGGGUUCAGGUUCAAGUACAUAUAAUGAGAGAAAUUUGAGCAAAGAACUAACUAACAAACAAGUCAAACAAGUCAAGUCUUUCAUUAGCCUUGGAUAUAUUCAGGGUUUGAACAUCUGUGCUUGACAACUUAGCUGCUCGAACAAGAACGGAACACUUUUUCUGUUUUUUGGUAACUGCUAAAACAGUUACGCUUGAAAUAGUGGUUCCCGCUGCAACGUGCGGGCUUAUUUUCUAGUGGGAUCUAAACAAGUCUUGAGGUGACGUUUAGGUAAAUGCCUACUCGCUAUUUUGUUUUGUAGGUAAGUGAGGCAAAAAUCUCCUCUGCCUUUUGUAUUCACAAUACGCAAUGGAAUCCCUGAAUUUUACGAAAGUUAAUUGGAAAGUACCAGAGUCAAGCUCCAAGCUUGAGGCUUUCAUAGCAAGAACAAGAAAAUUCGCAAAAACUCAUAAACUUCAUUUGGAAUGGUUUAGAACAAUUUGAAGGAAAUGGGCCGAGGAAAGGACCAAGAACACAACUUUACUCUUCGGGUCGACCGGGGGUGUACUUUUGCACUCAUUACGACUGUAUUUUUCUUUAUCAAAUUACAAAAAGGUUAAAGUGCAAAAUGAAAUUUUUGUAGUUCCUAUAACUAUUCCUUUUAUAAAACAUAGACUAAAUUGUACAUAGCCAUAAAACACAAGGUUGCAAAAUGUUCUUUACUCUAAAAACAAUAAGGUCCUUUUAAAUUUGCUUUCACAAGUGGAACUGUGGAAAUUUCUCUUUGACGCGAUCAUUCUUCGACACAUUGAGGGGUUUGGAAAAUGUACAUUAAUGUGUGGCUAUAGUUUUUUGCCAAUUUGUUCGGUUUGCAGUACGAUAAUAUCCUUUUAGGCUU